rnacentral:rRNA from 1 species
GAUGAACGCUAGCGGGAGGCCUAACACAUGCAAGCCGAGCGGUAGAGUUCCUUCGGGAACUUGAGAGCGGCGUACGGGUGCGUAACACGUGUGCAACCUACCUUUAUCUGGGGGAUAGCCUUUCGAAAGGAAGAUUAAUACCCCAUAAUAUAAUGAUUGGCAUCAAUUAUUAUUGAAAACUCCGGUGGAUAGAGAUGGGCACGCGCAAGAUUAGAUAGUUGGUGAGGUAACGGCUCACCAAGUCAAUGAUCUUUAGGGGUCCUGAGAGGGAGAUCCCCCACACUGGUACUGAGACACGGACCAGACUCCUACGGGAGGCAGCAGUGAGGAAUAGUGGACAAUGGGUGAAAGCCUGAUCCAGCCAUCCCGCGUGAAGGAGGACGGUCCUAUGGAUUGUAAACUUCUUUUGUACAGGGAUAAACCUACUCUCGUGAGGGUAGCUGAAGGUACUGUACGAAUAAGCACCGGCUAACUCCGUG